rnacentral:rRNA from 1 species
GAUGAACGCUGGCGGCGUGCCUAAUACAUGCAAGUCGGGCGAACAGACGAGGAGCUUGCUCCUCUGACGUUAGCGGCGGACGGGUGAGUAACACGUGGAUAACCUACCUAUAAGACUGGGAUAACUUCGGGAAACCGGAGCUAAUACCGGAUAAUAUAUUGAACCGCAUGGUUCAAUAGUGAAAGACGGUUUUGCUGUCACUUAUAGAUGUAUCCGCGCCGCAUUAGAUAGUUGGUAAGGUAACGGCUUACCAAGGCAACGAUGCGUAGCCGACCUGAGAGGGUGAUCGGCCACACUGGAACUGAGACACGGUCCAGACUGCUACGGGAGGACGCAGUAGGGAAUCUUCCGCAAUGGGCGAAAGCCUGACGGAGCAACGCCGCGUGAGUGAUGAAGGUAUUCGGAUCGUAAAACUGUGUUAUUAGGGAAGAACAAAUGUGUAAGUAACUAUGCACGUCUUGACGGUACCUAAUCAGAAAGCCACGGCUAACUCCGUG